rnacentral:rRNA from 1 species
AUUGAACGCUGGCGGCAGGCCUAACACAUGCAAGUCGAGCGGAUGAGGGGAGCUUGCUCCUUGAUUCAGCGGCGGACGGGUGAGUAAUGCCUAGGAAUCUGCCUGGUAGUGGGGGAUAACGUUCCGAAAGGAACGCUAAUACCGCAUACGUCCUACGGGAGAAAGCAGGGGACCUUCGGGCCUUGCGCUAUCAGAUGAGCCUAGGUCGGAUUAGCUAGUUGGUGAGGUAAUGGCUCACCAAGGCGACGAUCCGUAACUGGUCUGAGAGGAUGAUCAGUCACACUGGAACUGAGACACGGUCCAGACUCCUACGGGAGGCAGCAGUGGGGAAUAUUGGACAAUGGGCGAAAGCCUGAUCCAGCCAUGCCGCGUGUGUGAAGAAGGUCUUCGGAUUGUAAAGCACUUUAAGUUGGGAGGAAGGGCAGUAAGUUAAUACUCUGCAAUUUUGACGUUACCGACAGAAUAAGCACCGGCUAACUCUGUGCCAGCAGCCGCAGUAAGAC